CUUGAACCCACGAAGAACCACUUGGUCUUCUGCACCGAACCACGAACCAUGGAGCCCUAUCGUCUUCACCAAACCACGAACCCACGAAGCCCUGUCCUCUUCAAUUAUACAUUGAUCUGAAAUGUGAAGCCCUAACCCUAACCUAAAAUGUGAAGUCCUAACCCUAACCCUAACCUCAAAAAAUUUGGCAUAAUCAUCAAUUGGGCCGAGUUCCAAAAUCAGAGAAGCAAGUUGAGGGCUACCAGUCCAUAUCGAAGGCUUUGGAGGAGAAUUUUAGCAAAGUUGUAUUUGUAUGGAUGAGAUCUCAGCUUUUGUUUCCACCGUUUUAUCUAGUUUGCAUUCUUAAGACCACGUAGCAUUCUUAAGACAUCUGUUUGCUUACCAAUUUUUACCUUCAUGGUUAGACUAAUAGAAGGGAUCAUCAAGUUGUUUGUUUUUGAACAAGUUGGUUUUUCUUCAGAAUCACGCAUGGCAUCAUCCCAAUCAUCAUCUUUAGUUAAUGAUUUUGUCAUGGAAGCACCAACUUGUUGGUGUGGUUUGAAAACACCACUGAAGACGUCCUACACUAAGAAAAAUCCUGGAAGGAAAUUCUUUGCUUGCCCAAAGUAUAAUACGGGAGAUGCGAGAUGUAAAUUCUUCGUAUGGGCGGAUAUACUUCAGUUGUUAAAGGAGAACAUUUUAUCAAGAGAGAAUAAGGCUUGGAAGACGUAAGAUAAUGUAUUAAAGCGCGAGUAUGCCGUUCGUAAAAGGGAAGAGAAAGUGAGAGAGAUGGCGAAGAAUCUAAAAAAAGAAAAGCGGAAGUUAUUGUGUUUGUAUUGGAUUGUCACUUUUGUAAUAGUGUUUGCUUGGUUCGGAUAAUUAAUUUUAAAUAUUCAUUUUGGCUGGUUUAAGUAACCAUGUAUUUGCGUUUUGGUUCUGUUUUACUUAUAUGUUAUUGUGAAAAAAUGGGACUUUGCUUGUGAACUUGUUUUGUAAAUUAUUUGUGAAACU